GCAGAUUACACUGGCCGCAAUGUUUCUCCGAGCUGGAGAAAUGAAAAUGUGGAUACUUCUGUGGAGGCUCUCGGAAGACAGAGGUAAUUUUAUGAGAUACUAAAGAAAUGGCAAGCCUCGAACAAGCGUAUGGCAAAGUGGAAAAGAAUGCAGGCGCAGACGAAUCAGCUGGUAAAACAAGUAGGUCGGUGGGCGGGUCAGUAGGGAGUGGGUGGGCCAGUAGAGGGUGGGCGGGUCAGCAGAUAAAGGUGCCUUUCACUUCCAUCAGUUAUGAGGGAAAGAAGUACAUGUUUGGGAUUGAACACAAUAGCCAGUCCCGUCACAGAUGACAUGAACUCGGGUGUGGGAAUGAAGCACUAUUUUAAGGUCAGACUUCCAGCUCAGGGCCUCUUCACUUCUUUGCCAGGGCCCUUGAAUCCUCUCUGAGCCCUUGACUGUGCUUUUCUAGACCCUAAGGUAACUUCCCCACAGCCAAAACGCAUCUCUACCACCUCACCCACAGACCUCUCUGUAAGACCCGUCACUCACUGCCCGCCUCUCCAAUUCACUCUUCAUCCCGACCCCUCGGUGACCCUGCCCAUCUCCAGACACUGCAUCCUCUGCCCGCCCGCACCCCCUCCCCGACACACACACUCAGACACGCACACGCACACGCACACGCACACACACACACACACACACACACGCACACACACACACGCCACGCUGCUUUCCCCUUCUCAUCUUCCCAGCUCUCCUCCCCCUCCCCGCCACCACCACCCCCGACACCUCCAAAGCCUCCAGCCCAGCGCCUGAGUCUCAACUGCACCCCAUCCGCCACCCAGACUCACCCACAGAGACACCCACUUCUCAACAGGGCGGAAGUGCUCCCGGGCUCUUGCAGGGGAUGCUGGGACGCAGAGUCCUGGCGCCGCCAGCCCGGGAACCCGGUCUUUGAAACCACAACUCCCAAAUGGCAUCGCGCGAGCACCGGUGAGCAACUCCCCUAUCGGCCGCCCCUCAGAUGACGUCAGCCAAUGAGUGCCUCAUCUUCUCCGGAGCUCCGGUACCGGAACAAAUCUAGCAGGGCCAUCUCCUCUGUAAAUUUUAGGUGACAGAACAAAACCUACAUCUCAGGAACAAGAUGAACUCUCAGCUUCUCCUGCACCAUGC